rnacentral:tRNA from 1 species
UCCCUGGUGGUUUAGACAGUAAAGCGUCUGCCUACAAUGCAGGAGACCCGGGUUCGAUCCCUGGGUCGGGAA